GGAACAUGGACACCAGCAGCUGCAGGAGUUUCUGCUGCUCUGCUGCUUUUAAUACUUCUCACUGUCUGCUGGUGCAGGAGAAAAAAGAGGACUUCCAGUCAGUCUCCAAGACGAGAAACAUCAGAUAAUAAACAGAUGCACCCUGGUCCCAUUUGUGAAAACAUCUCAGCUCAUUACAGCAGAAUGCAGGUUAAUAUUAAACAUCAACAAGAUUUCUAUUAUGAAGAAGCUGAUCUUCAUGCCAGCGAAGCUGAUCUCUAUGCCAAUGCAGCUGAGCUCUAUGCCAAGGAAGCAGAACUCAACGAAAUUGAAACUAAUAUCUACUGCAGCAUCGAAUCAUUGUGAUAAAAAAAUCAUUUAAAGGGAGCAUUCACUGAUUGGGAUAAUAAUGAACUAACACAGGAGGGACACCACAACUGAUAAGUAGAGAGUAAAAAUCAUACAUCAUAGUGGAAAAUAAAAUACAAGAGUAAGAAAAGUAGUAGUGUGUAGAAAAAUAGAAAUGCUGCUGCUGCUGAAAUGUGUUGUGCAUGUCCUGCAAAAUACAACACAACUUCAAAUUACUAUUGCUAACUUUGUCAGAUAUGCAAGCUGUACUGGAUGGUUUAGAGCUUUGGCAAAAUGUCUGUAAAACUGAACCGAUGAAACAUUAAAGUCAUCAUGUUGGCAUUUUUCUCUCUUCUUCUGGACCACAAAAUAGUUCCAUCACUUUACAUACCUCCGCCUUUAUACUGCCCACCCUGAAAAGUUUUUGUUAAAAAAUAUAUCUGUGUCCUCUGCUUGCUCACAACUUCUAUGGGAAGAGAAAAAAUAUUGCAGAAAUACACGACAGGUGUGCCAUUCUUCCCAGUGGUGCUGCUCCAACACUGCCCUUUCUCUCCCUCUGACAGCG
ensembl:lncRNA